rnacentral:rRNA from 1 species
CCUACGGGUGGCAGCAGUGAGGAAUCUUGGUCAAUGGCCGGAAGGCUGAACCAGCCAAGCCGCGUGAAGGAAGAAGGUGCCAAGCAUUGUAAACUUCUUUUGUCAAGGGACAAAAUCAGGCUCGAGAGCCUGACCGAGGGUACUUGAAGAAAAAGCAUCGGCUAACUCCGUUCCAGCAGCCGCGGUAAUACGGAGGAUGCGAGCGUUAUCCGGAUUUAUUGGGGUUAACGGGUGGGUAGGCGGGCUGUUAAGUCAGCGGUAAAAGCCCGGGGCUCAACCCCGGCGAGCCGUUGAAACUGGCUGUCUUGAGUUGUGGAGAGGUAUGCGGAAUGCGAGGUGUAGCGGUGAAAUGCUUAGAUAUUGCGCAGAACUCCGAUUGCGAAGGCAGCAUUCCG